UGGCAGACAGCCUGUGAUCUAGGAGCACUCUGAGGACCUAGCUGUGGCAUCUUGCAGUUUCACUAUAAUGUGUGGACACCUAGAUUCAUCGUAGUGAAGAUACAAGUUCCAUCUGGUGCCAGAAAUUGCUUAGGACUUCAAAACAGAUCUCCAUUCCAGAGUGCAGGAGGCAAAUGAGGCCUAUCUGGUUGGACUUUCUGAAGACCUCAACCUGUGUGCUGUCCAUGUCAAACGUGAAACACGCCAAAAGACAUCCAGCUAGUACACCGCUUACGUGGGGAAUGAGCUUAAUUUACAAUCUACUCUGAUGGGAAACAUUUCACCCUAAAAACUUUUUUUUCCCCAUUUCUUCCUGUCAUUAGCAGGUCUGAAUGUUAGAUAUUCUUUUUCCAUGGGGCCUAAAGGUAUCUAAGUAUGUGAUUGCAAAUGGAAAAACAGGGGGAGGAAUAAAAUACUGGCAGUUUUUCCAUUUUCAUUUGUAUGUGAAUUUUUAAUAUCAAUGUGGGAAUGUAAAGCAUUAAUGCAAGUCAGAAUGUGUCAGGGAACAACUGUCAGCCGUUCAACUUUAUAAUGUUAUAAAUAAACCUGUGAAAAGUUUCCAGAUAAUGCCGGUAUCUGGAAUUUUUUAAAAACAAGUAAACUCUUAUU